rnacentral:rRNA from 1 species
GUAGCGGCGAGCGAACCUAUUGUCACGAAUAAACCUCUCAGAUUUAUUAAAAUCUGGUGCUAAAAACGUAAAAUUGAUAAUAAUAGUACUAUGAAGGAAAGAUUAUAUUAUGACAAUUCUCUAAACUAACGGUUGUAAUCCAACGUACCUUUUGUAUAAUGGACCUGCAAGAAAAAAUUUGGUUAACUUACGUUUAUGUAAAGAAUUUAAAAUCAACUUCUCCCGAAACCAAGUGGUCAAUUCCAAAAUAGCAAAAAGUGCGAACCAAUAACUGUUUCAAAAGUUUUGGAUGAUUUUGGAAUAGAGGUUAAAUACCAAUCGAACUUGGAAAUAGCUGGUUUUCUACGAAAUCUUUAUAAGAAGAAAUAAUACUAACUUGAGUUAAAUUAAAAACAGCAAACUUAACUCCAAUUUACAUUAUUUAUAGACCAUUAAUGACAAGAUUAAUGGUCCAUUGAGAAACAGCUCACAACAAAAGCUAAAGACGUUAAAAUCAAUAAGUGCAAUAUAAUAUAAAGUGCAGAUAAGAAACAAGUGGGCUUGGAAGCAGCCAUCUUAUUAACAACGCGUAAUAGCGGCCUUCAAAAACACAUCUAUUAACAAUUAAGGCGACUAAACGUACCCUUAAGCUUUGUAAAGGUAGUAGGACAGACUAUAUUAAUAGUGGAGAUAAUGCAGGUAUUAAUAAUAAUAAAUUUUAGGUUUUAGAUAUUAAACAGUCCCUUAAUAAACGAAGGGAUAAACACUAAAGUCUAUCUUGAAAAACCGGUUAAAAAAAACUGUACCAUCUAACCAAAGAAAAUAUACUAAAAAAUUUAAUUACUAAUAAGGAACUCGGCAAAUUUAUACAUACAAUAAUUUACUAGGAUCGACUGUUUACCAAAAACAUAGCCUUGCUAUAAUAUUUGUAAGGUGAGACCUGCUCAAUGGCUACAAAUAAAAAAUAAUAGUAGUUAAAUAGCCGCGGUAACUCUGACCGUGAUAAAGUAGCAUAAUCACUCGUCAUUUAAUUGAUGACUGGAAUGAAUGGUUAUACGAAUCCUAAACUGUCUCAUUAGUAAUAUUAAUAAAGUUGAAUUAAUAGUGAAGAUGCUAUUUAUUAAUUGUAAGACGAAAAGACCCUAUUGAGCUUUACUAAAUACCUAAAUCUAAAAAAUUACACCACCAGUUAUUAAUAUUUAGGCUAACUAGUUUGGUUGGGGCGACCACCUCUAAAACAGUAUCAGAGGAAAUCUUAAGGUAAUUAAUAAUAUAUAAAAGCCUAACUGCAUACUUACCAAUUAACCAGUUACUAUGGGUAGGAUAUAAUGACCCGUUAAAAGAAUCUUAAAAAUUAACGACUAAGAAAAAAGUUACCGUAGGGAUAACAGGGUAAUAUUUCUGAAGAGUUCUUAUCGAUAGAAAUGUUUGCCACCUCGAUGUUGAAUUGUGAUAUCCUAAAGGUGCAGCAGCUUUUAAGGGUUGGUCUGUUCGACCAUUAAAAUCACACAUGAUUUGAGUUCAUUCCGUCGUAAGACAGGAAGGUUUCUAUCUACAAUUAUGGACUAUUUGUAAACUUUAGUACGAAAGGAAUUAGCUUUACUAUUUAUAAAAUAAUAUUACUUGAUCUGACUUCUUAUAAGAUUGAUAGAA